GACGAACGCUGGCGGCGUGCUUAACACAUGCAAGUCGAACGGUAAGGCCCUUCGGGGUACACGAGUGGCGAACGGGUGAGUAACAAGUGGGUGAUCUGCCCUGCACUUCGGGAUAAGCCUGGGAAACUGGGUCUAAUACCGGAUAGGACUCCUGGUUUCAUGGUUGGGGGUGGAAAGCUUUUGCGGUGUGGGAUGGGCCCGCGGCCUACCAGCUUGUGGGUGGGGUGAUGGCCUACCAAGGCGACGACGGGUAGCCGGCAUGAGAGGGUGACCGGUCACACUAGGACUGAGAUACGGCCGAGACUCCUAAGGGGGGCAGCAGUGGGGAAUAUUGCACAAUGGGCGCAAGCCUGAUGCAGCGACGCCGCGUGAGGGAUGACGGCCUUCGGGUUGUAAACCUCUUUCAGCUAUGACGAAGCGCAAGUGACGGUAGUAGCAGAAGAAGGACCGGCCAACUACGUGCCAGCAGCCGCAGUAA
rnacentral:rRNA from 1 species